rnacentral:rRNA from 2 species
CAUGCAGGCGGUUUAUCAAGUAGGAUGUGAAAGCCCCGGGCUCAACCUGGGAAUUGCAUUCUAAACUGAUAGACUAGAGUAUUGCAGGGGGGAGACGGAAUUCCAGGUGUAGCGGUGGAAUGCGUAGAUAUCUGGAAGAACACCAAAGGCGAAGGCAGUCUCCUGGGCAAAUACUGACGCUCAUAUGCGAAAGCGUGGGUAGCAAACA